CGGGCGGGCGGUGGGGGGGGAUGAAGGAAAUAGAAAACGACAAGGAAAGACAGAGCGGAUAGGAAGCCCUGCAACGACCCCCAAGAAAAGCUCUGAGUCAAAGGACGCUUCACGAUGGAGCAGCGACUUCCGCUUCCUCGUCAGACGGUCAACUCGGGCCAGCGUCUCCUGCUUUUUUAAUCCGGUCGACCCCAGAUUCACAAACGCCCGUUUGUCGGGGGGGGCAACAAGUGUUCCAAGUCAAACAACAAAGCACAAAUGUUUCGCCUCUGUGGAAGGGCGAGUCCUGAAUAUUAAGAAAAAUGCAGUUUUCAGGGUAUAAACACAUGCGGCCAACCUGGGGUCAGAUGACACGGAUGAGUCACGUUCAUCAUUAAUUAUGCUCAACUCUGGAGUCGGCAAGGACACACCUGCAGGAAGAAUUGUGCAUUCGUCCCACAUUAAUCCACCUGUGACUACUGUGGAAGCCGUCAAGGCAGGCGAGGUUAUUUGUGUAAAAUGCCUGUGGCGGCUCCGAAUAAUCCAAAUAAUCUGUUAUUUUAUGUGCUUAAGUGAUGUGUACAUGUUUAAAAACCUAAAGGUUUGGAGCAUUUCGGACUUCUCACGCUUGGCCGAGCCUCUUCUGGCUCAAACUCCAUGUGAUGGUUUAAUCAAACAAAGGUAUUGAUAAUGUCACCAAUGGGAAUGUAGAAUCCUUAUUAUUCAAUCGUAAAAGUGGUUGUAGUCAUAUAAUUUACACUGAACAAAUUUGCAUUUCCGUCGCAUUGACUGUGGGAUAAAAGAGAAAGACAACCGUUCACGUUGAUCCCUUUGCCUCUGUCCCUCGGUGAAGUAUUCCCAUGAUGUGAGCGUGUUGUUAUUCCCCAACAAUGAGAAUUCAGCUCACAGUCCCACAACUGAAACCAGGGAACGUUAUUAUUUCAACAAGACAGCAGGGAAAAGGUGUUUUGUCCUUCGGCUCGUGUUUUUUCUGUUGGGGAAUUUCCACAAUGCGAGAUGAAUUUUGUCAAAUAAAAGAAAAGAAUAAAGGGGCCACCAACCCAGUGACACGUCGCGCAUGGUUUUACCUUUACCUCACUCGAUACCUUUCCUUUCGCUUAUCACCAGCUAGUAAUGUCAAGCUGGUAUUUAUAUAUUUUGCAAUAAAAGUCUGAAUCAUGGAGCUGCAAUGUUACACUGAGAUGCACAGAAUGUCAGUGUGGCAGAUUCCUACAGCGGAGCUUUAAUGAGAAUGCUGCUAGAUUGAAGAUCGUGGAACUUGUUGAGAUCAAAGUGUUUCACUCCCUUGGGGACGUGAACGCUUUCAGCAGAUAUCACAGCAUUCUGCACAUUCGAUCAUGAGAUAAUGUUACUUAACAAAUCACGGGCAUCAAAGUUAAAUCUUUACUUGGCAAUAACAGUUUGACCCCCUUUUGCUGGAGCUCUCAACGGCAUCUCACACUUUCCGUCCGGUCGGCUUAAGUCAUCGAAAGAAUUGUUCCUUGUUUAUUCUGCCCGUAGAGGUAAAUAGAAGAAGGUUAUUUUCUGUUUAACAGGCAGCUCCUCGGCUGUUUUUCUAUAUCCUCUGCUGGCUCGUCGUGUCACUGAAGAUGGGUUGACUCCAGAGACCUUCUGCAGGAGGAAGGAGAUUAAUACAGUAAACCCAAUUACAAAUGCGCCUGAAUAAUAAUUCUGCUAUUGGUCCGUGAUUUCCGAAACGUGCCCAGAGGCUCACGAGCCUCCAGACACUGAACCCGUUCACCCCUGCAGGCCUCACAGCAGGCUGACUGCUUCCCACGUAGCCCCUCACCCCCUCACCCGUCUCACCCCUCCUCCCCCUCUCACAGCCCCAGGAUGCUGUACACAUGAAAUACAUGCGCAAGUGGACUCGUGUGUGUGUGUGUGUGUGUGUGUUUGAAAUUGUGAAGAAGACGGCCGUGUGUUGUUGUUGUUGUUUGUUAUUUGCAAUCUUGGAGAGCUGCUUUGGGCUAAAUUACUCUGUGCUGUAAGUAGAAAACAGUCCUGGUGUUUUAUGAUAAAUACCCUUUUCCUGUCAACCCCCCCCUCUCCCACACACACACACACACACACAACUCUCCACUGCGUUGGCCUCCUUACUGAACUCAUAAUAUUUGCUGCAGUGAAAUUCUUUUGUUUUCCACAGCGUCUGAACACACCGGGCUAGAGGCUCCAAAAUCGACCCCCCACACCCGGGAAAUGGGACGGUUGUUUAACAUUAACCAGGCUUUUCACACCAAAAUACUUAUUGAGACUCAUACAAUAAAACCCCCUCAGGUUUUACAAAAGGUUGUGCGCUGCAUUUUGGCAAUAAUGCAAAGUAAAAAAUAAAAAACGGUAAUUCUUAAGAUGUUAAACUCAAAGCUGCAGAGGGUAAGUUCUGUCUCCUCCUCCGGCCGUGAAAUAAACUUCACACACGCACACGGCUGAUGCGUGCAUAUAAGGGAGGCGGAUCUAGAUUCCUAUUUCCCCGUCUGCCUUCUCUCGUAUGACGACCGUAUGAUUGCGUGAGCUCCAGGAUCGCCUUAUGGUCACACCGGCGUUUCGGGGCAGAACAUUUUACCUUGUGACCCCCUAAUAACUAUUUAAAUGUUGCUUUCUUUACGUUGUUUAGGUGAUAAAUGCAAACAAUCUGAGGCCACCGGGCUCUACAGGAACAUUAAAACCAUUAAAAUGAAGUCUCAGGAUGAAUAAUUAAGUGGUUGUUUCCUAAACAUCUUUUGUUUGUAGACGUUUCCAAGCAGCCCGCUGUCACCGAAGCCCCGAAGCGAUGGCUUCAAAACCUCCUCCUACUUCAGUUAAAUAGGAACCGACAGCUCGUCACUGAUCUACGGGUUCAUUGAUCCGAACUCAGCAACCCAAUGUCGACACUUUCUACGGCAACUGGAGGCUCGGUGGACGGGGGGGUCGGCGACGCUUUCGCUUCCGCUCAUCUCGUUAACAUGAAGCGCGGGUUCCCCUCAGUGCAGAGGGUCCACGCCAUUAACGGGAAUAAGUCACGGACUCUACGGACUCCAGCGCUUCCUUCUGUGGACUGAGCGAGGUGGGCUGGAACGAAUGAAAGCCAACGUCAUCGGCUGCUGUGACUCACACAGCAUGAGUCAUUACGCGCUGCCAAGACUUUGGCCUGUAAAGAAACAGUGACUUUUGUUAGUAGGUGACGUAUGCUACCGCCUCUCCGCCGAGGCCUCUGUGCCGAGCCUACACACCAGGUUACACGUAUCCCCCAUCAGCUUUAAAUAUGAGCACACGGCGUAAAACAAUACCAAAGUGACAAAAGUAUCGACAGCAGCCUCCGACGGCCACAUUCCACCAGCGGAGAACAGCCACCUUUGGAAAAGGAGGUUCAGGGAAGACGGAUUGGACGGACUAGAAAACACUCUCGGGAAACCGUGUGACAGCAUCACCAGCGACGGCACAAGAAGGCGCUCGCCUGGGGGGAGCCGGAGACAUCAAGGAGAGCGAGCGCAGAUGGAAACAGCUGGAGAAGGAAAGCCCGGGCCAGCAGUCUCUCUCGAUCGGCGCGUGUAUAAGUAAAAGGCUUUGUUCCUACAGCCUUGGGCGCUUUGAGGAACUUCCUUCAAAUCCGGCCUGGAUUAGGUACAGCUUUAAUCCUGGUCUCUUUACCUUUGUAUGAUUAUGUUGGUAACUUUGUUGGUGCUAAAAAGACAACCUCGGUAAUCCUUUUUUUUCUCCAUCAACGGUUAUCAUCAAUAUUAAACUAUCGCGUAUCUAUAUGUCCUCUACGACCGUCGGUACAUUUCCGCAAAUCGAUCUACUGUGGCGGUAGACGUUGCCGCCUCUGGCCUUCUAAGCCAAAGCCCGUGACCUCACAGCCUGUCACAUGACCCGGCCGAAAUGACAGCACGGUGUCUCCCGAGCGGGCGUCCACAUGCUGCUGUGUAACCCUGACUCAUUCCGCUCCACUCUCGACCCAGUCUCACAGCAAAACGUGUAAUAGCUACGCUGUGGAACGUGGUAUUCUCACGCUUUUGGGGGGAAAGCGCGACAGUACAACUUUUCGUUUGCAACGAGGGUCACGUGACUGUCAACUUUCCCUCAGCUAAAAAAAGAAAAUGGCGGACUGUCGGUUCAUUAUCUGUGAAAAACACAAUAUUUUAAGAAAGCAUCAGCAUUUGUAUGCAUUUUGAUUCUAGCGAGACGUAUGCGUUGGUCCACAACGUAGCUAUUACACGUUUUGCUGUGAGACUGGGAUGUCACACUUCUGCCUGGCCCGGAUCCAUCGGCCUCUCUCCGCCGGGUGUCAAUGAUGGCCGCCAAUUGUGCAAAAAAACAAAAAAGUCGCUACAAGCGGGAGGAGAAGGAUGGGAGGAACUGGAGAGACGUGAAGAGGAGAGGCAGGAGUCCUCGCCUCCCACCCGCCGCUGUGCACAUCCAGCUACUGAGACAACGAUAGGACAGACCCUCGCACGUGCGUCUCGGCGGCCAUUGGUUGGAGGAUUUCUCACCCUCAUCCACGCGCUUGUCCACAGAGGCGUGAAGACUCGUUUGCACCUCUUUUGUGAAUACACAGUUACCCCGGGACGCUCGUCUUUUCUGCUGUGGUUCUUUUUUUCCCCCCUAAUCAGGUCCAUCAACGCGCAGCGACACGAAAGGAGGCAGGACGGUGCUCCAGGGGAACACGGAGGACCUGAAGGGGGACGGCAACGGGUAACGGCCGUGAUGUGAGCGAAGGUUUAGAUUAGUCACUACACACUUUUGUCCGCGGUGAUUGGUACAAACGGUUGAAACUGAAAUCGGUUGGUCAAAGUUGGGUCAUGAAGUCUGUGAAUUGUGUCAGUGCCAAUAUCAAAAAGACCUGAGUAUCUUUUAGUAAUUCCUGUUUUGGAUAACUUGGCGUUUACCAAAUCAUCAAAAUGAUCCCAUGCACGUCAUUAAAUCUGGAAAACGUCAUGGAUUUCUUACAGACAAAGAAGAGUCAUUGCAAAAACCUCUUUUUGACUGACUCCUUUUCAUUCUACACGCUAUGACUUAAUAAAGCUGCUGUUUAUUGUAGUGGAUGACAUUGUGAGCUGCGUCCGCAGUGAUGUAAAUGAGCGAAGCUCCCCUUUCACGAGCGAGCGGUCCUUUUGAAGGCGGUCUACACUUUUGUUUGGUGGCGCCAUGACUUCAGUAGCAUGCACAGCUCUGCCAGCUUACAACAGUCUGCUUGCUCUCCACUAAAAGUUUAUCGCUGAAUGUUAAUUCCACAGCAAACAAAUGCGCCACAUAUCUGCCAGUUUCUGCAUAAACAGAGAAGAAGGUAGCAUCAUUCUUACACGGAAAGCAAUGCGUUUGCCAAAGGGAAAGUGGUACGACGCUGCUGUGGUCUAAUAGAUUAUAGUAUGCGACAGGACAGCUGCAUUGCGUGAUGAAUGGUUUCUCAUUACAUUUCCCGUUUUGUGCCAUCAGAGUUGUUAGAGCCCCACACUGAGUCCCAAACAAUAGCGGAAAGCCCCCCGAUUCCAAAUGUAGAGAGAAAUAAUGUUGCUUCAUUUCAUUAUUCAAAUGCUAUUUUAAGCAUUUGCGCUAUUUGACCAUCGGCACUACAUGCAGACUUGAGUCUGGGCGGCUGUGGUCGUGUUCCUCGGGGUCCUUUGGGUCAUUAGUGGCGUGCGGUUACGGUUACGGUUGGAGCUCCCUGACGGCGUGUUAAGGGAUGUCCAGCAAACAGGCCAUUCGACAGCUAUAAAGCCAACGUUUAAAAUGUUUUAUUUAAGCAUCUUGCUGCAGCACUAUAUGCUGAUAUCCGUAGUUGGUGGAGACGCAGGCUAUUUUCAAACAAUGUCGCUGUAAUGAAAGGCCUGUGUAAGAACCGCUUUGCUAAAUCACAGGUGUCGUGUUGAGCACUGCCUUCCUCCAGUCUACCGCCGUGACAGCUCUAUAAUUAAACCGUAAACAAUAAUGGUCACAAACAACAGCAGUAAAAGUUGUACAGGCUGAGAUAAUAAUAGGGCAAUGCUAUUAUAGACACCAAUCAUUGCGUCUGCACAGUGAUGCAUGACUGCAGGAGUUUAUUUCAUGAAAAUAAAACAAGAGUAAGUUAUCCGAUAUUGCAAAAACGUCCAUACCAAAUUAAAAAUAUUACAAGAAAAUUAUUUUAUUUCACGUUCUUAAUGACUUAAUGAUUUUUUAUUGGCAUUCUGAUUUAGUUGAAAUAAAAAAAAAACAUCAUGACAUAAUGUGUUGUGUGGGGGUACACACUGAUGACUGCACCCCCUACUGUGACCCAACAAAUAUCAAGUUGCGUAACCGAGCGCCCUGUGACGUGAGGCGGAUGUUUUCACUUGUUUUGAAAGCGAGGACCGACUCAUUCACAAACGGGGCUGCGUGGGCCGGCUUAUUUAUAACAGCAGAUUAACCCUCAUACCGGAGUGUGAUUUUAAAUCAAUUAGCCUGAUUAAUUGCUUUGCAACCACUGCAAUUAUGCUUAUUUAGUGUUGCAUUGCGGAAGGGAUGAGUACGCGUUUAAAGAAAAUAUCAAAUACUGGUGGCGCUGGAAUGAAUUGGACAUUGUCAAUGCUUUUCUAAUUAGAUUUAAUGACUGCGCCAUUGUACUGUAUCUUUUAUCUCGCGUGCUUCUCUGCCUGUCUUCAUUUGCAUCUCUCAUCUCUUUGAUCUCUGAUGUACUGCUGCUCUUUGGACCAAAUCUCAGCCGGGGAAAUAAAAUUAAAACAAAUAAAAAGACAUCUCCAAGUCUAAAAGCAACACGGCCUCAACUGGCUAAUUAUGGUUUUCAAUGAUUCACAAAGAGACGGUUAAAUAUGGAUCUGCAUUUUAUUAGGAUUUAUUUAUUGAGUGGAGGAGCGCUUUGCUCCGGGAGUAUCUCACCGUGUCUUGGCAGGUGUCUGGCUAGGGACCCGGGAAAGGGCCCCGCACCCGUUAAAGGAGCAUUAAGAAGGAGAUUCAUUGGCGGAAAUGGAAUAUAAUAUUCAAACCCACGUUUGGCACGUUUGAAAAGGGGGGAACGACAUCGCCACUAAAUGCCACCGAGUGUUACACACUCCUCCUUAAUAAGUCAAAGAAAGUGAGCAAUAUGCCAUUCCUGUCAAAACCGCUCCGCUCAGAUUUCUGUCACUGUCAUUUGUAUCCUCUCUUGCUGCCUCCAUCACCCCCCCCCCCCCCCCUCCCCGCGUGGACAGCUGGGGUGUAAUUGGGCAAUCGCCACUUCUCUGUGGCACGAUUGGUGGAAGUCUCAUCGGGGCCCCGGGGAGCCGAUGAUCUCAGAAGAGCUUAACUAGAAAAGGGUUUUCUUUCAUGACGCUGGGUGGAUGAAACAAACGCACGUCAGCGACGUCAGAAAACCUGCGAGUGGCUCAUUUUGUGCUGAUGCACGUUUUUUAACCGCGGCAUUUUGAUUUUUUUUUGUUGUCAAAAAUAGGGGCCCGAGACUCUCCAGCGGACGCCUGCAGACACCAAUCUUGAGUUCAUGCAGCUCGCGCCAUAAAUAGAAACAUGCCACCCCCUGUAGGGUAAAAACGCGCCCCCACCCCUUUUAAAUCCAAGGCCGGGCUAAUCCCUCCGCUGAGCUGAGAGUUGCAGAGCGCUGAUAUUUCCCUGGAAGGCAACGCGAUGGCAACUGCUUUGCUCCUCCAUGACCACAUUAAACAGAGCCUGUGAAGUGUGGCCUGUGGCUCGUGUCCUCUGCUUUUCGACCCGGCUGAAUCUACUGCGUUUGUCUCUGUGAAGCAGCACGUCCGUUUUGGUCCGUUUCAUCCGUUUGGGUGUUCUCCAAUGUGCACCCGCCUCCGCAGCCACUUGACACAGUGCGCACUGGGGAAAGGAGAGAUGAUGUGAAUUAGCCCGGGUGUACGUACAGACAAUUAGAUCCACUAUUUAACACCAGCCUAGACGGGGGUUAAUCGACCUUCACACAGAUUACAUAUUUGAUUUGCAUUAGUAUAAAAAGAUUUAGACAGUGUCACAUUCAUCACGUUGCCAAACAUACGACGGACUGUAUAAAGCUUGACCGGAGCGGCGUCGUGAACUUCCACACCACUGAAAUCCAGUCGGUCAACGUUGGACUAUAAACCACAAUCAUUUACGAUUGAACAAGGGGGCUUUCACAUCAGGACCGCAGAGUCCAGUUAGUUUGAUUGGUGUGAACGCCGGUCCAUUUGAAGAGGUGUUCUUCGCCGCACGCUCACACGGGUGUGGUUUGCAUACCGGUUUGAAAAACAGCUGCACCAAAAUUCUAAAUAUAAACAACAGUUUGCAUAGUAUGAAAGUCGACUGGUAUAGAUUUGGGAUUUUGAACAACACAAACCAAUGUCACAUUGUAGUAUUUAUUACCAUCAUCAGGUCCCGAGGUAUAAGCAAGAGCGGCAAAGACGGAGUUGAGUUGCAUUGGCAGAUUUGCCACUUCUGCUGGGUGACUUGAGUUGUUCAGACAAAAGUUUGAAUCUGGUAUAUUCACAAAAUAGUGGAACACAAUGCUUUCCUUUUAAUAAGAAUUGACAAAAAAGAUAAAAAUCUUUCUUUGUGUAGCAGGCGGCCUUCAGUUCACAUUGCUGGCUCAAACAAAAACACACAAGGAUUUCCAAUGAGGAGAAAUAGGCUCCAGCAUGAAUGUUUUAACAUUAAUUACAACAUGAACACCUCGUCCCGUCCACCGACCCCCGGACCGAUCGGAAGGGCAGGGGGAGCAGAGCCCCCCAGGUCCUCUCACGGCUCCUCGGCUCCUCGUCCCACAAAAAACGUCCUCUGCUUCCCGGAGCCGCUCUGCCUGAUCCGCAUCCCUCACUCGCCGCGUGUUUGCUCAUGUAUAUUACAGCUCGUGUUCACACAUCGCUCGGCCGCGUUACGUAUUAAAUAUUAAACGUUCCGCCAUCAGUCGCGAUGCGUUUGACCCGGGCGGAAAUACUUUGAGCCUUCGAGUUUAAUUUGAAUCAAAGAUGAUGCACACUGCAGCAAACGGGAUACCGUGGGCUCGUGCCUGACGCACUACGGAUUGACUGAUAUGAUAUCUGACUGUUUAUUGUGGCAAUCUCUGCACCCGCCAGCGAGCAGUAUACACUGAACAUGAUCUCCCAUCAGCUCCCUUCAUGAACAUCAUCCGGCUUUCUCGGCAAGAGCCACGCAGAUUUUUUCGCAUCAUUAAUACGUUGAUUGCCGUUUGGAUGAUCCGCACCAGCUCUGCACCCCAGUGAUUGGCUCGACGGCGGCGUCGCAUUAAUGACACUUCAAUGACAUUUUGACACUUUUGAAAAGCCGCAAGUGCUUCACAGCGUGUCGCCGCCGCUGACGGUGGAGAGGAUGACUGGUGAAGUGAGUGUUUUAAAAAAAGGUAAUCGUUUUAGGCAUUUCUUAGCUCCUCUGGCAAUAAAUAAAGGUAAUUUGUGAUUUCUUAUAAGUGACCAAACAAGCCGACUUCCCAUCCAUGCAAUUAUGCACAUUUGAAGAAAUUAGAAAAGCCUGAGACGGUUUUAAAUUCGCUUGAAAAAAAAAGUAGUAGUUGCACUAAACGGAACAAUCCAACAUAAAAGAAUGAAUUCUGGGGUGGCAAUCAUUGCAUGGAAAUGAUUAUUAUCAAGGUGAAGGGGAAUCACUAGGAUUCAUCAUCGAGGGAUCACGUAUAUCUGCAUCAACCAUCAUGGAGACCAAUUCCAUAGUUUGAAGAAUUCACUAAAUUCCAAACCUGCUCCUGGCAGAAAAGGUAAAGGCAGCAAAGUCAGUGGAAUCUCUCAGUGAUGAUUGAAUUUCUUGACAAAAUGUCCCUGCAAUGCAUUUAAUAGUUCCUGAUAUAUAUCUUUCAGCCUGGAUCGAAGCGGAGGCCUGACUUCAAGCCGAGCGGCGAGCAAAGUCAGACAUUUCCAUAAUUUGUUCAAAAAGUCCUCUGGCACCAAAUCAAGUCAAACAGAUUUCAUUAGCCGUGAAAAGUUUAACAUAACCACACGCCAAAGGUGAUUUCUCUGACACUUACUCCCUGGAAGGACUCCCAAGAAGAAGAGGUUUGCUUUUAAAAGCUGCGGCGUGCUUUCAAAAUUUGCCUCAUGACUGAACCCGUUUGUUAACGAGGCAUCACGAACGCGAACAUCGACCCGGCCAAACCCGGCGUUUCCCCCCCGGCGCCACGGUUAAGGGCGGGGGCCCGCGUCCUCUGCCUCUUCCUUCACGACGCGUGUGGCGCGACAACGGCUGAAGCCUCAAAAUACACCAGCAAGAUGAGAAGGAGACGGGCUCAUCCAUCAUAGCGGAGAGGCGAGCUGGUCCGAAUUGGCAGCUGUCCCCCGUGAUGCUCUGAAAACGCAGGAGGCUUCCGUUUGGAAUUACGAUGCACGGCCCGGCUCCCGCUGCCAAGUUUUCAAUGACACCCAGAUACGUUAUCAAGAGCUCUUUUUUUUUAACUGCGGUAGUGCUCCUAAAAACAACGUCAUUAGGUUAAGUAAAAAUAAUGAAACGUCAGACGGAAUCACAAGGGCAAACUCCUCUGGAGCCUCGGUGCGGUCUCCAUCUCCCAGGGGUUUUAACAACGUGUGACGCAGGGUUGAGUAACUGAGCACAUUAACGCAUCACCAUUACUUCGACAGGCAUAAAAACAUGUGUAAAAGAUUGAUCGACCCGUCAUUGGCGGCUUUAAACAACGGCCGAUUGAUUACGGCCCAUCGUGUGAAAAGUAACAAACAUGGCGUCGGUGAAGAUGGAGCGUAACCGUCCACUCUCUUUAUGCCUUUGCAUUUGUGUUCAUUUAAAUGAAGAUCCAAAUCGUGGCACAAGGAAUAGUGCCAAUUAAUUGUUCGGUUUUAAUUGGGAUUACUCCUGAAGCUAAAUUGAGCUUGGACCUUGAGCUAAUGGGCUUCUGGCAAGAACAGAUUGGACAUUAAUAUGUUCUAGGAUGUGUGAAGAUGUUUAUUGUUAAAUAUCUGCGCUUAAACGUUACGUUCGUCUGUCCAGUCUUGAUUCUAUGUCAAUGGUUGUUAAAACAAUUUAAGCCUCAGAAAUAGUUCCCAUGAAAAAUGUACGUGCUUUUGCUGGAACUGAAAUAUACGGCCGCGUGAUUCGCGUAAACGAGCCACAAAGCGAACCUGAGAGACGCUGAGCGCACGGAGAGGAACCUCGAUGAGGCCCCUGGAGGCCCGAAUAAGGGUUGAGGAAGCACUUGAAGGGAUUCCAACAUUACCAAAUCUCUGCUAAUUAACAUGGCGAGUUUUCUUUAUCGCCAAUAGAAACCGAUGAAAACAACAAAAUAAAAUUGUAGUUAACCCAAAUUAUAUUUUAUGCCAGUCAUCGAUUUUAUCUGAAUCUGCCACAUUAGUCAUGGGAGAACUCAGAGUGCUUCUAUGUGUGUUUCCGAGCGACGGCGAAGGAGGAGACUCCAGCGCGGCAUAUGGCUUUGUUUGGAAAAUGCCUUUUGUUUGAAAAUGGCCAGACGGCGAAAAUCAACCCUGAAAACAAAGCCAAGGUCUGUGAGGCAAACCAACAGGAAGUGUGGGUGAGCACAAAAAACAAGUUGGAUGUGGAGGAACGACCUCAGAUGAGAUUGGUCAUGAUGUAUGAUAUAAAUGUAUACGCACACAUGUGCACUCGGAAAUCUUUCUGUGGGUUUCUCACUCCCACUUUCACAUUUUCAUUCCCAAACAUAAAUAAAUAUAUAUAUUUACUUAUCAGGCCUCAAUUCCAUCGACGAUUGGGGGAAAAACCUUCACGUAAAACGAUGGUACGCGUGUCAGUAAUUGCACUGGCGGUCGACAGAUGUGCUCUAAAGUGCUUACGCAGAGGCAGAGAGCUCGGGCUGAGUCGUCACACGAGGGAUGCGAGCUGCAGUCGGCGCGGCACAGCGGAUAACGAGCCCGCCGCAAAGUCAGUUAAAAGUCAAUCCAUGUGGUUCCGGGGAAAACUUUGGCUCAUUGGCCGGUUUGUGCCGAGGGGAGAAGCCUUUCCCGGGUAAUGAUGUGUUGGUCGUGCACCUGAAGUCGGGUCCAGCUCAUUUAAAAUAAAACAAGAGGAGGAGGAGGAGGGAGAGGAGCAGUUGGGAAGACCUCCAAAAGCGUUCCAAAUAAUGCACCUUCUGAUCACAGUGCACAACCUUUGCAAGAUGCCUCGGAGGGAGUUAGUCUUUUGAAGCCUUUAUAUCACUUCCACUAUCGAAAAACACAGUCCCCUCUGCCAUCCAUCAUGCCAUCCAGUCACGGGCCAAACCCCGGGCCGGCUUGUUUAUAGACCAUCCAACUUAAGUGCUGCAUGCAUCUAAACCUGUAUUGAUUCCAAGGCAGGAGAAACACAAGCUCCUACAUUAAUGAUCGGCCAAUAAAAAGAGAAAGGCCCAUUAUUGCCUGACCAUGUGUGUGUGUUGGAGUGUGUUAUGUUGUUUUUUUCCCAAUGCAAAUACACGCUCAGCAUGACAUCCAAUCUGUGUUUCCUUUAGCCAAGGUGUGUGGCCGGCCUCAAUCUCACCUCUCCAAACUCCUCGUUUUGGGUGAUGGCUCCCACCAACAAAACGUUCUCAAUGUGAGCGCUGAUAUGAAAAUCAAAAAUCAUGUUGUCUUUGUUUCAGUGAAGAAAGCAGCUUGACAGAGGACAAUAAAGUCUCCUUGGCAUCUUCAAACCAAGACAGGUUAAACCUCAAUUUAUCUUACAGCUUACAGCCCAUUUCAAAAUAAAAGAAAAGGUAUGAAAUGGUGGAUGAAAUAAUACUGUAAAGCCCUCUUUAGGGUGCAAUUUCAGUGAUAAAAUGUGCUAAAGUGACGAUGCCAUGUCUCAUAUUAAGGGAACUUUAAUGGAUUAUCUGCAUCCUGGUUGGGUUCGGUGAGAGAGCAAGAACCCCUUCAGGCAGAGUUGUGCUUAUGGAUAAAUAAAUGAUAUCAUUCUGCGUUUUCUCCAAGAGAGUGUGAGCAUCUGCUGACAGAUCCAAACUCCUCUGCGACUCGGAGACAUUUCAGUCCAAACAUCAGUCCCUUGAGGAGGGUUGAAGAAAUGCGUUUACUCUUCAUCCUCAAAGAGUUACAACUUGUGUCCAGUUCAUACGGAUUUUGUCAGCCUUUAGAAUAGAAAUACAUUUUUGUUUUUAAAACUAUGGAAAACAUUCAGAUUACCAAGAGAUUUGAAAAAAAGCCUUCUAACCUGAAGCCUGAAGCCUUCUAACCGUCUCCUAGAAACAACGUGUGUACAAUACACAUUUGCCAGAGAAUGUGCAUUUUGCAGCCUACUUUAUAGCGCAAAUUUGAAAAGGUUUUUUAUUGGUGUACACAUACUAAUCUUUCCACGGUGAGAAACGGGAGACGCUUCCUUUACACACACACAAAAGUAAUAAAUACAAAUCAUUUAUCAUCUCCAAUCGAAAAAAAAUAAGCCACAGCGACCCGCCAGCAGGAAUCAAACAAAUGGUCUGAAACAAGCUGAAACAUGAACAAACAGCAGCACAGAACAUUCUGAGAACCAGCCUCACCUGGUGCACAGAGCACAAACAUCUGGCUACGGGGAAACAGGAAGACAUGUUCUCGUUCAAUUCAAUGAGGAAAAGGAAAACUUUUCACUUCUUCUUCUUGUUCUUCCCCUUUGAGGUUUUAAAGCGGUUUCCAUCCUCAAUGUUGCUCUACUGCCCCCUUCAGGUGUUAUUCUCCUUUCUCGUUCCAAUAAAAUUUUAGUUUAUUGUUCAACGCUGUAUCAGAAACAUAUUUAAAUUAAGAAAUUAUUCUUUUUAAUUACGCUUAACUGCAUGUUUUAAUGCAAAUAACCACCAACGGUAAUUAUUACCAAGGAAAAAGGUAACAUCUCAAAUUUCUGAGGGUUUACACGGACAUCUGUAUCUUUGGGGGCUCUUGAAAAGUUAUUUUUGAUCCCUUUUUCCCUCGACCCGUGACUGAAAACCACGACAUGACGGAACCUUCAUCAUCACGUCCUCACUCGAAGCACUUUACUCACACGCCGCUUUGGUUCGUUAAGGCGCUAAACAUAGCCAUACAUUUGCACACAACAACACUUCUCUUUGACGGCGCGUCUAAUCACAGAGAGAACGCGUACCGCACUCAAGCAAAGACAAAGAAAGGCCUCCCGUCCACUGAGCAGCUUCCAUCGUCCUCAGCGUCUCGCCCAGGACGACGCAGACGCGGGCUAAUUAGCUAAUAAUUAGCUCAAACCGCUGGACCGAAAAUGUUAACAGUGUCUUUUACCAGCGGAUCGAAGCACAACAAAAAGGCAAACGCGUGACGUCUCCCCCUCCCCCCCGUUUGAGCCUCCUCCGCACAUCCUCAUCCUCUCUCUCGACCCACGCGGAGGCCGGCAGAAUUAAUGACCAGCUGAAUUCACAAGGGAAAGUUAUGAAUAAUGUUUACGUAUUAAUCAUUCAUGGCGGCCAGCCGAGCACGUCGCGCCGCCGCUCCCCUGGAAAUUACAGGGCCCACCUCAACAACAUAAAUUAUCCAUCAGAUUUCAAUCAGGCCCGUCGAAGCCCAAACUAUCUCCGCACAACGGCUGCAAAGUCCGGCGUCCGUGACCAGCAGGCAGCGCGCCGCCUUAAUCCGUCAGUCGAUGUAUCGACGGCGAGGAAGCAGCAGUUUAAACGCGCAAUCUGCUUUUUCGUCACAACGCGAAGACACAGUGUGUGGAAUGGGUAAACGAUAAGUUCACCGCAGAAGACAGAGCUGACAUUUGUGCUGUUUAAUGCAGCUGAUGUUUCCCCCAAAUUAAAAUUUGAUUUAGCAUCCAAGCCACUUGCUUUCCCAUCAUCCCCUCCCUGGCUUUUCUGCGUAGACAAGCAUUAAUUGAGGGGUGUCUUUUUUUUGGUCCGUCUCUCUUCCAGUCCCUUGUCCUCUACAGAGGCUCUUUACGAUUGUCCAUAUUGGACGAAAUGCAUGAAAUAUUUCGCUUAUUUUGCUGAAGGUGACAACAAGGCAGAGAGAAGCCCAGAUCACUGUGAACAUGCUUAACGAUACGUAUAAUGAUGUAAAAUGUAGCAGUGAAGAGUUUGUACAUACGUCAUUGAAUAGAAUGAGAGAACGUGUCCAAACUUUUGACUAGUAGUGAUGCAUCGAUGCAGCGUUUCAGUCGGCUGCCUUUCUGGAAGGUUCUGACCCCUGAUCACGUGAAAAGAAUCCAAUAACAACAACAUGAGUGAACAUGUUAAACACAUUGUGGAACAUUUGAAGGCGACGCUGCACAUUGUGAGCUAGCAGAGUGGCUCAAUGAGCACAGAAUCAACACAAAAUGUACCCUGCGGAAAAAAAAAAACCCACUCAAAACACAGUUUUCCGAUUGACUCCUUGACGGCGGGAUUCUAAAAAGUUAAACAUCAGAAGCGACACACACACACACGGAGUAAGAGAAGUCAAAAGCAGAACACGAGGCCGGCUGGAGGGGGUGUGGGGGGGGGGGAAUCCUCGCCGCUCUUUACGUCGCCGGUCCGGCGACAAAGCGGCAGAAAGCCAAGCGGCAUAAUUAGUUUCACAGGAGGAGUGUGUUUAAGGACGAUAAGCGUUGCUUUGGGUGCGGAGGAGUCAGCAGACGAGUGUAGCUGCUUGUUAUCGGCGCGGCGCAGAGGGGAGAGCAGCCCGCCGCUUUAAUAACUUUGAGAGACAGAGGUGAGGAUGGGGGGAGGAGGAGGACGGAUGCUGUCCCUUUUAUCAAGUAACGCACGGAAAAGACAAACAAGAGAUCCGUAUCUGCAGCUUUUUUUUUUAAUUUUUAACCAGUGCAUUGGAAAGGAACGAGGCCUGCGUUCGGCCUGCUGAGAGUCACCACGAGAACACACAAACACAAACGCCAUCAUUAUUCAUGGCGGAGACGCCCCUUGAUGCCCGCGCUCGUCGAGUGAGCCUGACCACCGUGUGAUGCGAGGAAGAGGAACGUGAGAGGGAGCGCUCGAGUGGCUGCUGGGGAAAUUGGUCCAAGAGACGUGUGGCGAGAUGAUUUUCCAGAGAGGCAACAGCAACGUCAGCCUGAUGUGCCUGAUUGGAUAGAAGUCUAUUUCCGGUGUUUAGACUGAGCUUAGGGAUGUAAACCCCAUUUGGAGCCCAACACUAACAGUUUGAUUUUGUUUUAAUUCAUUAUUUCAGAUGGGUUAUUUUCCUGAUCAGCAGCUCAGUGGUAGUUUCCGCUGUACUUGUCAACAAUUUCUGUUACUGGAAGUGUUUUCGGGGGUUCUGUACAUCACAGGCAAAACCUCAGUAAAUCAGCUGCUUUUAAAAGUCAAACCAUUAUUUUUAUUUGGACUAUUAAUAAAAAUGAAAUGGAUGGAUUGAUUGAGAGAUUGGAAAGACCUUACAUCGACAAUCCAUAAGGUCUCCCUGUAAAUUCCUAGUGUGCACCCCCCCACAACUAUGAAUAGAAACGUGCUGUCUGCUCACUUGCUCGAUUCAUCAGCAGUAAACCUGCCAAGUGUGAAGUCAAAUAAACCGGUUUACAUGGUUGUUACUUCAUAGCAUUUGAAGUCGAAUGAGACGGAGGAAGCAUCCUUGACGGAGAGAAACCCAAAGACUCUCUCUUCAUUCGAGUCAAUUAAGAUGUCCGGUUUCAGAAAUGUCCUCCUCCUUUGGCCUCCAUGUCAGCUGCGUUCACCCUUGUUUGGAGGUUGCACGAAGCUUUUCUCCGUUCUUGUUCUGCAGGCGAGCGUCAGCGUCUGAAACUGGUGGCGAAGCGUCAGAGUCGGAAGCAGAGUGGUGUCGGCUCGGGAGGCAGAACACCAGACAGGCGGCAACAUUAAAUUGCAGUUGUAAAAGCCUCAAAAAACUGCAUUAGCGCCAUCUUGGGACUCUUAAAUAUCUGUAUCGUUGGGCACAAUAAUUCACUACUAAAAAGAAGGAAGUCCAUUAAGUAAAAACCCUGCGAAGCACAACAACAAUACAUUAGAAACGCGAUAGUUCACUGAGCAGGUCCAGAGAAAUACGUCCAUCGUACGAGAGGUGAUGCUGACUCAAGUACGUCUCCAUCUUGCCUUCAGUUUUCUCCAGGCCGGCUUUAAUCUGGACAUCUUUGACCCUUAGACUGAAUAAAGCUCUGAAAAAGAUAUAGACAAACAACAAAAGAGGACAACGCUGACGGUUUGGGGCUUUUUCUCCCUCCAUGUGAAGGCUGCCAUUUGGCCCUUUGUCAUCAGGACGAGCCUGGCGAGCGGGGCUCAAGAGGUUUUCAUUUGAAUUCUCUGUCUCCGCAGCCCGUCACCUUGUCAGAGCUAUUCUUCACGCUGGCAGAAGGCAAAAGAGCAACUCAGCGGGUGUUAGCGGGCUGCGCCGUCCUUCUGCUCGCUCGCUGGGAAUGCACAGGACGAAGAGGGCUGCUUUUCCCACAAUGUAUGAAUGCACACAGGAGUGUCUUCACGAACGCUUUCUCUUUGCCCUCUCGACUCUUUUGUGCCGUCAAGGCUUCUCAGGCUACCGAGGAUCGUGCGCGCGAGCAAACCUCAAUGGGAAAAGGUGCAUGUAUUCAGGCUUCUUUCUUCCAGCAGCCGGAAAGGGAAAACCUGUGAUCUACAGAAGAAGCUCAAAGGACGGAGUUGAAAAGAAGGAUGUGACCGAUGUUAUCCAAAUACAGACUAUGCAUUUGUUUAUCUAAAGAGCACUUUCUGCAUUGUUGCCUGUGUUGCACAAAUAUAGGAGAUAACCUUACAGAAGGCAAACAGCUCACUGUGAAAAGGUUGUAAUGUUAAUGUUAAUGUUGUAAUCAGCAUCAUUAGCAGGUCAUUACACAGCUGAGGCUGAAUCAUUUGAAGGUAUUUGCCAUAAAUUAAGAUUUAAUCAAGCAAACGGCAAAUAUUAUUAUUACGAUUCCUACGGAAGGGGAACAUAAUGCGUCUGUAGCAAAUUAUAUGGUGAUCCAUCCAAUAGGCUGUAUCCUUUUAAUCCUUUUGAAUCUGGAUUGGUCAAAAAAUACACAGACAAACAAAGAAUGUAUAAUAAUUAUUCAGGACUCCUUAUGCAGUAGCAGUUCGUUAUACGUUUAUAGGAUAUAGUUGUAUAGCAUAUUAUAGUUCAUAAGUUUCAUUAUAGUGUUAAUUUAAGUAGCAGUAACAAUGCAGGAAAGGAGAACAGGAACACGACGGGAAACUAGACACUACAAACACGGGCUGGAAACCAAGAAAACAACAACAAACCGCUUCAAAGUGGAAAGAUCAAAGGGGGGGGGGGGAGGUGCCAACGAGGGACAGGUGAAAACAAUCAGGGCGGGGCCGACGAUCCCACAGGUGGGAGGAUAACAAAAAAAGGUCAGAUUGUGACAGAUUCCCCUUGCGAAGCUCUUUUCUGUGUGUAUUUAUUCACAUGAUGCAAUCAGUUUCCGUGGUCACAGGACAGACCCACCGAAAUCCACGUGAGAUGUUUGAAAUAUAAUACUGGGCUCUUUAUUGUUUGUAUUUAGAGGUUUUGUUUGUUGUGAUUGAUUAAAGUCCCGUUUUGUUCAGUUUCCGACAUUUUUUCGUCCCCAAAGUCAUUAAAACCUCAUUUUUGAACCUGAAGUCGUGUGUAAGGCUAUUUCCAGGACGUCGUUGUACAGUACAGUGUAAUCAAAAAUAGAACUUCAUUUUGAAGCCUGAGAUAAAUCUCACAGGAAGCGGACAUGUGAUACAGCCCGGCUGGUUGACAGAUGUCCUUUCCUUGACUUGAGAUUAUUGCCAGAGGUGGUUUUGCAUGCGGUGUCAUAAUUGAAGAACCAUUUUAAACCCCUGAACUUUUGUUAAAUAUUUGAUUUGACUCAUGUAGUAGAACAUACAUUUAC
ensembl:lncRNA